rnacentral:rRNA from 1 species
AUUGAACGCUGGCGGCAGGCUUAACACAUGCAAGUCGAGCGGGGUGAUGGUGCUUGCACUAUCACUUAGCGGCGGACGGGUGAGUAAUGCUUAGGAAUCUGCCUAUUAGUGGGGGACAACAUCUCGAAAGGGAUGCUAAUACCGCAUACGUCCUACGGGAGAAAGCAGGGGAUCACUUGUGACCUUGCGCUAAUAGAUGAGCCUAAGUCGGAUUAGCUAGUUGGUGGGGUAAAGGCCUACCAAGGCGACGAUCUGUAGCGGGUCUGAGAGGAUGAUCCGCCACACUGGGACUGAGACACGGCCCAGACUCCUACGGGAGGCAGCAGUGGGGAAUAUUGGACAAUGGGGGGAACCCUGAUCCAGCCAUGCCGCGUGUGUGAAGAAGGCCUUAUGGUCGUAAAACACUUUAAGCGAGGAGGAGGCUCUUUUGGUUAAUACCCAAGAUGAGUGGACGUUACUCGCAGAAUAAGCACCGGCUAACUCUGUGCCAGCCGCCGCAGUAA